UUUCCGUAGGUGAACCUGCGGAAGGAUCAUUAUUGUAUAACCGAGGUGCGAGUGCUGUCGCUGACCCGAAAGGUCGUGCACCCCCGAGUUCCCUCACACACAUCCAUCGCCCCCCUAUUUCCACCACCGCUUGGGUCCCCUUAUGGCUUGUUCAUGUGGGGCCUUACGUUUUCACACAAACUUUGUAUGUAAUGUAGAAUGUAUUUUUUGUUUUCGCGAUCACGCAAUCAAUUCAACUUUCAACAACGGAUCUCUUGGCUCUC
rnacentral:misc_RNA from 1 species